AGAGCCAAGAGAUUUGCAUUUGGAAGCGCCCCGUCCUCUUGCGCGUCUGGCGAGAAAGGAGAGCCUGGUGACCGACCGAGCUGCAUUUCUGGAGCAGUUGCUGGGUUUUUGCCUCGCUGAAGCAUGAGUAGCACCAGGGAAGUGGAGGCGAGGGAAAGGGAAUCCUGUCACCGAGCGGACACCUGCUCCUGCGCCCCCCCGCCCACGCCCGGGCCGCAGGCGCUGGCUCGCCCUCUCCAUCUGCCCUGCCGGCGGCGUUGCCCGCCCCGUCCGCCCCGCCCAUCCUUCCUCCAGGGCUGUGGAGAGAAUGGUGUGGGGACUGCAGGAAGCCCCGAAAACUAGACCAGUGCGGGUGCUGGGGAGCCAUAGGCCAGAGUUUUUUUUAAUCUUUCUCUGGAACCGACUCUCAGUUGCAGAACCGAGUUUUGAGCUCGGUGUAAAGUUUAAAUUGCAGUCUACAAGCUGUUUCAAAGCAGCAGGCAUGGAAAACUCUCAUCUUAGCCAUGAGUGAAAGAAAGUCCUGAGCAGUAGUAAGCAGUACUUCAGUUAAAUGCUGGUCAUCCUCCUGCUAAUGGUGCUGGUUUCUCCUUCAACUGGAACUGCGAAGGAAGGUGUGGGGCAGGUGGCUGACAUGUAAAGAUCCCUCAGUUCAGUUUUAUGGAUAUUAAAACACAUUGUCCCCAC
ensembl:lncRNA